rnacentral:tRNA from 3 species
UCCGCGAUAGCUCAAUGGUGGAGCAUUCGGCUGUUAACCGAAGGGUUGAAGGUUCGAAUCCUUUUCGCGGAGCCA